GAUGAACGCUGGCGGCGUGCCUAAUACAUGCAAGUCGAGCGAACAGACGAGGAGCUUGCUCCUCUGACGUUAGCGGCGGACGGGUGAGUAACACGUGGAUAACCUACCUAUAAGACUGGGAUAACUUCGGGAAACCGGAGCUAAUACCGGAUAAUAUAUUGAACCGCAUGGUUCAAUAGUGAAAGACGGUUUUGCUGUCACUUAUAGGUGGAUCCGCGCCGCAUUAGCUAGUUGGUAAGGUAACGGCUUACCAAGGCAACGAUGCGUAGCCGACCUGAGAGGGUGAUCGGCCACACUGGAACUGAGACACGGUCCAGACUCCUACGGGAGGCAGCAGUAGGGAAUCUCCCGCAAUGGGCGAAAGCCUGACGGAGCAACGCCGCGUGAGUGAUGAAGGUCUUCGGAUCGUAAAACUCUGUUAUUAGGGAAGAACAAAUGUGUAAGUAACUAUGCACGUCUUGACGGUACCUAAUCAGAAAGCCACGGCUAACUACGUG
rnacentral:rRNA from 1 species